rnacentral:tRNA from 1 species
GCGGAAGUAGUUCAGUGGUAGAACAUCACCUUGCCAUGGUGGGGGUCGCGGGUUCGAAUCCCGUCUUCCGCUCC